GAGGAAUAUUGGGCAAUGCCCGCAAGGGUGACCCAGCAACGCCGCGUGGAGGAUGAAUGUCGUAAGAUUGUAAACUCCUGUUAGAGGGGAAGAAUAGUACCGGUUGGACCGGUAUAUGACUGUACCCUCAGAGAAAGCCCCGGCUAACUACGUGCCAGCAGCCGCGGUAAUACGUAGGGGGCAAGCGUUGUCCGGAUUUACUGGGUGUAAAGGGCGCGCAGGCGGGAUAAAAAGUCAGUGGUGAAAUCCUACAGCUUAACUGUAGAACUGCCUUUGAUACUUUUAUUCUUGAGUUCGGGAGAGAGAGACGGAAUUCCAGGUGUAGUGGUGAAAUACGUAGAUAUCUGGAAGAACACCAGUUGCGAAGGCGGUCUCUUGGUCCGACACUGACGCUGAGGCGCGAAAGCGUGGGGAGCAAACA
rnacentral:rRNA from 1 species